rnacentral:tRNA from 1 species
GGACCAUUAGCUCCAACGGUUAGAGCGGGGACCUGUUAAGUCCACGGCUGGGAGUUCAAAUCUCUCAUGGUCCGC